rnacentral:rRNA from 1 species
GUUCAACGGCCGCGGUAUCCUAACCGUGCGAAGGUAGCGUAAUCACUUGUUCUUUAAAUGAGGACUAGUAUGAAUGGCACCACGAGGGUUAAACUGUCUCCUUUUUUUAAUCAGUGAAACUAAUCUCCCCGUGAAGAAGCGGGGAUUCUUUUAUAAGACGAGAAGACCCUAUGGAGCUUUAAACAAGUUAACACCUGCUACUAAUCUUCACUUUCCUGAACCACCACAUUAAGUAUAGCACCUCUGAUUAACAGUUUUCGAUUGGGGUGAUCAUGGAGCAAAAAUCAACCUCCACGACGAAAAGGAACACCUCCUUGAGCCAAAAGCUACAACUUUAAGCACUAAAAAACUAACGCACUUUGACCCAAUUCUUUGAGCAACGAACCAAGUUACCCUAGGGAUAACAGCGCAAUCCACUUUAAGAGCUCCUAUCGACAAGUGGGUUUACGACCUCGAUGUUGGAUCAGGGUAUCCCAGUGGUGCAGCCGCUACUAAAGGUUCGUUUGUUCAACGAUUAAAACCC